rnacentral:rRNA from 2 species
UAGGGAAUCUUCGGCAAUGGACGAAAGUCUGACCGAGCAACGCCGCGUGAGUGAAGAAGGUUUUCGGAUCGUAAAACUCUGUUGUUAGAGAAGAACAAGGACGUUAGUAACUGAACGUCCCCUGACGGUAUCUAACCAGAAAGCCACGGCUAACUACGUGCCAGCAGCCGCGGUAAUACGUAGGUGGCAAGCGUUGUCCGGAUUUAUUGGGCGUAAAGCGAGCGCAGGCGGUUUCUUAAGUCUGAUGUGAAAGCCCCCGGCUCAACCGGGGAGGGUCAUUGGAGACUGGGAGACUUGAGUGCAGAAGAGGAGAGUGGAAUUCCAUGUGUAGCGGUGAAAUGCGUAGAUAUAUGGAGGAACACCAGUGGCGAAGGCGGCUCUCUGGUCUGUAACUGACGCUGAGGCUCGAAAGCGUGGGGAGCAAACAGG